AACGAACGCUGGCGGCAGGCCUAACACAUGCAAGUCGAACGGGACCUUCGGGUCUAGUGGCGGACGGGUGAGUAACGCGUGGGAACGUGCCCUUUGGUUCGGAAUAGCCCCGGGAAACUGGGAGUAAUACCGGAUAAGCCCUACGGGGGAAAGAUUUAUCGCCAAAGGAUCGGCCCGCGUUGGAUUAGGUAGUUGGUGAGGUAAUGGCUCACCAAGCCGACGAUCCAUAGCUGGUUUGAGAGGAUGAUCAGCCACACCGGGACUGAGACACGGCCCAGACUGCUGCGGGAGGCGGCGGUGGGGAAUGUUAGGCGAUGGGGGAAGCCGUGAUCGAGCCAUGCGGCGUGGUCGAUGAAGGGCUUAGGGUUGUAAAGAUCUUUCAGUGGGGAAGAUAAUGACUGUACCCACAGAAGAAGCCCCGGCUAACUCCGUGCCAGCCGCCGCAGUAA
rnacentral:rRNA from 1 species